ensembl:lncRNA
UGCUGAUAGCCGCCCACUUAGGAGGACUGGAGCGGGGGCGGACCCCCAAGAAAUUGCAAAUGACUAAGCACAUUCAUGGGACUGAGAGAGGGCAAAAGAGAUAUCACGUUAAAAAACAAAACAAAACAAAACAAAACAAACAAAAAAAUCCAGCCCACUGAAGACGUUCAUAAAGAGCGGAGGGGGAAGGAGGAGAAGAGAGGAGUGGAUCCCGGGCUACACUUUGGGUGUCGGUUGAAGCCCCCAACGGCUUCAACUAGCCUAGCUCAGCAAACAAAAUACUCCCCAAUUCAAAAACUAAAAUCUCCUUAGUUUUCCUGCAAGUUUCUCUCCGGGGGAGAGCAAGGGUCUGGCAGUAGAGGUAGGGAAGAGCCCAGCCCAGCUGGGAGCAGCGUCUCUGUGCCACAUCUGGCGGACGUGCCCCGGAGAUUGCAAACUUUGAAUGGAGUGAAGUUCUCUUCCUGUGGAGAUGGAAGCCUGGCUCCCUUUGCUGCCCGGGUAGCUGCCACACCCCGCCGUCUGGCGUCUUCCCAGGAAAACCUGAAAUACUAAAGCCAACCACUGUCCCUCCUCAUCCCGCCAGACUCUCUCUCCCUUGAUGUCCGAAAACUCCUUCAGUCGCUAGACAUCCCCACCCCCACCCCCUUUCCCCUAACCCACAGUUUCUCGCUUGGGCCUUUUUUUAACUGGUGCAGUUAGCCAUCCGGAUCUACGCCGAUCCUUAAUUCCCCACCCAACUAAAGAGUGAGUGACAAAUGCCAAAGACGAUCAGCCUCCAAACUGCCCAGCUCCAAGUUCUGGUCAGUGAACGCAUAUUGCUCACCAGGCCUGUUGAUCCAGUACUCAUCUCCAGCAUUUUUCUAGUUCUCCAUUCUCCUCCCCACCAUCUUUCAUCAGUUCCCUGCUGGGCCAAGACCCACAAGAGCUGAGAUUUGUUCAGCAAGAAGUUCCUGAGUCUUCAAAUAGCCAAAGAACACGCUUGCAGGUAUCAGUGAAGAUUGGAGAAAUGCUCCGGAAGGAAAAUCGUGAUAGUUGGAAAACGGUGAUUUGAGAGAAACUAAGAAAGUGUCCAUAUCUGAACUUCUAAUCUGAAGAUUUCAAAAGCAAGAACUUAAUUGACUUGAUUGAAUUUCUUCUCUUAUCUCUUGGCGAAGAAGCCCUCCCAAAGUGAAAUACAAAGGACCAAGAAUCAUUAGCAAAGAAGAUAAUGCUUUAGUAAAACAAAUCUUUGAAAACCAAACUACCUCCAUCCUGCCCCCUCCAGGACAGUAGUUCUAAGGUUCUGUCUUUGCAGUCUGAAGAGAAGGGAGAUUUAGUUUUUCCAGCGUUCUAACGCCGCAGAAAUUGCUCUCUGAAGCCUCAGACGAAAACGCUAUGUACGUACCAAGAACAUUCGUUAUUACUGAGAUUUCUGUAAUUAAUAUCAGACAACUAUAAGCACCCUGCAUGUCUUUAAACCAAAUCUCUCUCCUUCCUAACUGUAUCCUCUUUCUUCACUGCAAGGGAUUUCCCUCUACGUUCUCAUAUUUGGUUGCACAAAGAUGAUGGGAAAAUUGUCUUCUGAGGAUGUUCUGCACCUUUCUUUUUAUCUUUAACUUCAAAUUUUUGUCAAGGACUACACUGACGCGUUUCUCAUCAGUAUAUUCUCUCUCCUUCCCUUCUUCUCUCUCUCUCUCCCUGCCUCCUCCUUUUCUCUCCCCACUCCUGUUAGUUUUUGUCACUUUGUCUCUGUCUCCCUCUAUUUCUCUGUCUCUGUUUCUACCUGUCUCUUGUUUCUCCUGCCUUUCUGCAUUUCUGUCUCUUGACUGUCGCUAUCUCUGCAUCUAUCAGUUGUCUCUUGCCUAUCUUUAUGUUUGUCUGUGUGUCUCUUCCCCCAAAUCCUUCCAGGUCAACUUAUAGAAAAAGGAUACCAACAUCCCGCCCUUUGUUGGGCAUUCUAAAAUGGAAAGCAAUCGUAAGAACCCAGAUAUUCUUACGUGAAUGAGAAUCGUUUCUAAUUUACUGAAGAAUUAAGAAUCUACCUGGACAACCAUUAAAAAAAAAAAAAAAAAAAAAAAAAAAAAAAAGGAAACCUCACUGAAUGGUCCCCCUUUCAUUUCAGCAUAAAGUACUACGGGAGAGACAAUUAUCCGUAACAGGUCCUGGAAAAUUUCUCCAUCAAUUUUCAAGAUUCAGAGUUGGAAGCAAACUAAUGCAUUUCCUUUAGCAGACAAAAAAAAAAAAAAAAAAAAAAAAAAAAGGCAAAUGAUUUAUUAGGAAAGAUCACACAGUGCUCAAAACAAUUUGCAUAACCAGAAAAAGAAAACUGGGUACAACCAAGUCAGUUUUAGGUGAUAUUAUAUGAAGGGGGAAAUGAUUGAAACUGGCAGUUGAAUACUUUUCCUAUAAAAGUACAGUUCUGGUUCAUUUAAAUGUGCUAAUUUCAAGACAGAAUACAAGGCUAAAAUUAAAAUAAAAGUUGAUUAUGCCUAGGGAAUUGCUACCAACACUGCUGCAGUUCUGUCUUUUCUGCUGUUUUUGUAAAAUGCAGGAAGACAUGAAAAGGGACCUAUUUUCUCAGCAUUUUCUUUAAAGAAGAAAAUCUGACCAGGGCACUUCAUGUUCAACUGCUGAAAUGAUAGGUUUCAAAACUUUUCCAAAACUCUUUUGUUCGGACAUCAUUUCUGCCUGAAUUGCUUUCAGAUUCUGAUUACACUCUCUGUUUACCGCAGAGUAUUUUUUAGUAGUUUUAAGAAACAGCCCUUUAACCAAACAGCAAGCAGGAACAAGGAAUUCUUGUCAUUCUCCUCCCUACAAACCCCUCCUCCAUCUUAUACCCCCCACCAAAAAAAAAAAAAUGGGGAAUGAUAACAAAAGGUUUUCUUGCACUUUUAGGAUUUUUGACUCUCUCACAUUCUCAGGCCUCUAUUUUCACAUCAGCUGGUAUGAUCAGUUUUCUGGCUUCAAUAAUCUUUUCAUCAUCCUAGAUUCUUAGAUUUAAAAUAGAAAGCAGAAACAACACUAGCCUGUCAAAUGCUCUGAGCUGGAAGUGUUGGGGGCCAGGAGAGAAGGAAGAGAAUAGCAAUUGAUGGGAUUUCCUUGGGCAAUCCUCAUGAAAAAGUCAGUCAGUCAAGAACCUUUAUUGGAGGCCAGCUGUGUACAGAGCACUGUGUUAGGCACUG